rnacentral:rRNA from 1 species
UCUCCGUUGGUGAACCAGCGGAGGGAUCAUUACCGAGUUAUCCAACUCCCAACCCCUGUGAAUUAUACCUUUAAUUGUUGCUUCGGCGGGACUUCGCGCCCGCCGGGGACCCAAACCUUCUGAAUUUUUUAAUAAGUAUCUUCUGAGUGGUUAAAAAAAAAAUGAAUCAAAACUUUCAACAACGGAUCUCUUGGUUCUGGCAUCGAUGAAGAACGCAGCGAAAUGCGAUAAGUAAUGUGAAUUGCAGAAUUCAGUGAAUCAUCGAAUCUUUGAACGCACAUUGCGCCCGUCAGUAUUCUGGCGGGCAUGCCUGUUCGAGCGUCAUUACGCCCCUCAAGUCCCCUGCGGACUUGGUGUUGGGGAUCGGCGAGGCUGGUUUUCCAGCACAGCCGUCCCUUAAAUUAAUUGGCGGUCUCGCCGUGGCCCUCCUCUGCGCAGUAGUAAAGCACUCGCAACAGGAGCCCGGCGCGGUCCACUGCCGUAAAACCCCCCAACUUUUUAUAGUUGACCUCGAAUCAGGUAGGACUACCCGCUGAACUUAA